rnacentral:lncRNA from 1 species
CUUUGGAAAGUAUGUCCUAUAAGAGACAAAGAAAACAACUCUAGAAUCUAUCCCCUCAAUAUGAGUGACAGCCAACCAAGCAAAAUAAGUCUAAGUAGAGGAUAUCAGGAUUUCAGCUAUAACCAUGAUUAGAGAAGGUGAUGUGCAUACAAAGUUAUAUUGACAUGGUGAAAUAACUAUUUGAGAUUAAAUAGGAAAUACAAAUGAGAAUAUCUGUAUAGGAUUGAAAUAACUAAAAGUGGACACAAUCAAAAUGUCUCUAAAAGAAUGGAAUGAAUAAACUGUGUGCUAUGUUUCUACUAUGGAAUAUUAUACAGCGUUGAAUAGGAAUGAACUGAAGUUACACGUAAGAAUUGGCUUCAUUUUAUGACAAAUAUAAGAAUAAAAAUCAUCUAAUUGGACUGGAAAUUCAUGAUUAUUAUUGGUUAUGUGUUCCUGAGCCCUAGAAUGACAUUCUACUGUGACCACACAAUCCCUAAACAGGUACUGACUUUACAAAGACUUGAAUCAACCAGUUAGGAGAAUAAACUGAGUGGAGGAAGGACUGUGAAGGUGUGGAAAAUUCUAUCUGCCAAAGUUUUGGAACUACUGCUUUUGAUAUUAUAUGAGCAAAAUGAAUAAAACUAAGGGCUUUCAUUGCUUCCCAUCAAAUCAAGAUUUCCAAGAUUUCCAGCUCCAUAACAAAGUAGAGGAUGCAAAUAAUAUAUUUUAUUUAUCAUGUGUUUUUCUGACUUUUAUUAAGGACAUUUUGAUGUUGUUAAAAUAAAUAUAUUAUCAGGAGAUAAACAUUGUGAGGAAAUUUGCAAUAUGAUAAAACAAAAUGAAAGCAUGCCAUAAAAGUCCAGUACUUUUGCUAAAAUUCCACGAAUUUGGAAUGGAAAUAACUUUAUGCUAGUAGCCCCAAAGUUUUCAAAGCCUAGCAGCAGUCUCAAUGAGCAUCCAUGGUUAAUCAGUGACUGUGGGGCAAUGUUUCUAUACUUUUUGUUGUUUGGCUGUUGGCAUAAGCAGGUUAUGUCCCUUUCAGAAAGUGAUGAAUGAGACAGGCACUUUCUCAAGAUAAGCAUACAUAUCAUGCAUAUGUGGAUAAAUCCACGUAUUCAUUCACAAUUAUAAAUAAUUUUAGGAGGUCUACAUGCCUCCUGAACUACCCAAUGAACACCAAAUUUAAAAUCUGAAGCUUAAAGCACCAAGUCUAUACUAUUCAAGCUUACCCUCUACAACUAGAGCAUUUACUAUCUGUCACAAACUUUUCUCCCACUGUUUCAUAAAAUGAAGCUUCUGCUCAAGUCAAUAUGAUUUCCUUACUGUCUCCAAAACAAAUCAUGAUACCAACCUACUGCUGCCAUCCUCAACUGGAUCCUGGAUAACCUUUGUCUUUUUUCUCUUCACAUUCCCAAUUCUAGCAAAUUAAUUUAAAUUAUACUUUCUACAAAAAUUGCCUAUGAUAUCAGCCCAUAGUUAACACUGUUUUCUCUGUAAUUUUAAUUUGUGAUAGUGCAUGUUGAUUAUUAUAAUACAGUAGGUAACAUUUCCCUGGGCAUAUAGUAGACACCAUCAAGAAGAUAAUGAGAUCCAAUAUUUUAGGAUAUUUCACACUUAAAUUCUUUCAAUCAGAAACUACCAGAUGAAGAAAGAUGACAUUGGGAACAAGGUUAACUUUACUGUGACAUGUUCUCUUAAGGAGGGCCAGCAGUAGCAAUAUUCUAUCAGAAGUAGCCAUGUGUCACCAAGCAAUUGAUUUGUUUCACCUUGUAGCCAUUUGAAUUUCAUAGCUAAUUUAUCUCCCCUCUCUGUUCACUAGAAAAGCUAAAGCCAAAUUCGUGGAAUUCUAGCAAAAGUAUCGGACUUCAUGUAUGCUUUCAUUUUGUUUUAUCAUAUUGUAAAUUUCUUCACAAUGCUUAUCUUCUGAUAGUCUAUUCAUUUAAAAACAUCAAAAUAUCCUUCUUGAUAAAAGCCAGAAAGAAACUGGAUCCCUUCCUUACACCUUAUACAAAAGUUAAUUCAAGAUGGAUUAAAGACUUAAACGUUAGACCUAAAACCAUAAAAACCCUAGAAGAAAACCUAGGCAAUACCAUUCAGGACAUAGGCAUCGGCAAGGACCUCAUGUCUAAAACACCAAAAGCAAUGGCAACAAAAGCCAAAAUUGACAAAUGGGAUCUAAUUAAACUAAAGAGCUCUGUACAGCAAAAGAAACCACCAUCAGAGUGAACAGGCAACCUACAGAAUGGGAGAAAAUUUUUGCAAUGUACUCACCUGACAAAGAGCUAAUAUCCAGAAUCUACAAUGAACUCAAACAA